UACGUAGGGACCGAGCGUUUGUCCGGAUUCAUUGGGCGUAAAGAGCUCGUAGGCGGCCACUCAAGUCGAACGUGAAAUCCCCGGGCUCAACCCGGGAACUGCGUCCGAUACUGGCAGGCUUGAAUCCGGGAGAGGGAUGCGGAAUUCCAGGUGUAGCGUGAAAUGCGUAGAUAUCUGGAGGAACACCGGUGGCGAAGGCGGCAUCCUGGACCGGCAUUGACGCUGAGGCGCGAAAGCCAGGGGAGCAAACGGG
rnacentral:rRNA from 1 species